rnacentral:rRNA from 1 species
GACGAACGCUGGCGGCGUGCCUAAUACAUGCAAGUAGAACGCUCAAGGAGGGGCUUGCCCUUCUGGAUGAGUUGCGAACGGGUGAGUAACGCGUAGGUAACCUGCCCGGUAGCGGGGGAUAACUAUUGGAAACGAUAGCUAAUACCGCAUAACAGAUGAUGAUGCAUGACGUUCGCUUAAAAGAUGCAAUUGUAUCACUACCAGUUGAAGCUGCUUUGUAUUAGCUGGUGGUUGGGGUAAUGGCUCACCAAGGCGACGAUGCGAAGCCGACCGGGUAGGUGGUUCGCCAAAACGGGAACGGAGACACGGUCAAGACUCUUCGGGGGGGCACCAGUGGGGAAUCUCGGGCAAGGGCGGAAGGCUGGACGGAGCAACGCGGCGUGAUUGAGGAAGGUCUCCGGAUGGUAAGACUCGGUUAUUGGGGAAGAACAGAUGUGGAAGUAAAAAUGCACGCUGUGACGGUAUCUUAUCAGAAAGCCACGGCUAACUACGUG